GAGGAAUAUUGGUCAAUGGGCGGAAGCUUGAACCAGCCAUCCCGCGUGCAGGAAGACAGCCCUAUGGGUUGUAAACUGCUUUUCCAGUGGGCGAAACACUCGUACGUGUACGAGAUUGACGGUACACUGGGAAUAAGCAUCGGCUAACUCCGUGCCAGCAGCCGCGGUAAUACGGAGGAUGCAAGCGUUAUCCGGAUUUAUUGGGUUUAAAGGGUGCGUAGGCGGAUGAAUAAGUCAGUGGUGAAAGGCUGCAGCUUAACUGUAGACUUGCCGUUGAUACUGUUUAUCUUGAGUAUGGUCAAGGCAGGCGGAAUGUGUAAUGUAGCGGUGAAAUGCUUAGAUAUUACACAGAACACCGAUUGCGAAGGCAGCUUGCUGGGCCAUUACUGACGCUGAUGCACGAAAGCGUGGGGAGCGAACA
rnacentral:rRNA from 1 species